CAAGGAUGAAAAGCUUCUCCCAAAAAUGGGUGGGUUUUCUUUCUCGUUUCCUUAUCCUGAACUCAAUAGAUAAAAUAUCAACGAAAUUUACAGGGAACAACAUUGCACUAUAUGUCAACAACUACUUGAGAACCCACACGCGGAUAGCAGCUUCUGAAAUAUUUAAAGAAGAAAAGUCUUCAAGUUUGAGAGCAGUAAUUUUGAAAGUUGUCGAAGUUUUGGCGAAGGGAAUAAGAGUUGAUGAUGAAAAUUGGUACAUUGCCACAAGGAAGUUGUAUUCAACAUUAGUCAGGAUUAAGGAAUGAAGGAAGAUAGAUUAAAGAGGAAGAAAAACAAGGGAGGUUUUCGUAGUUUUGGUCUCUAUAAGAUUCGACAAAUAUCCCUAAUACCCAUGUUCAUCUAAGCUCUUAGAACUUUAUAUAAACUAUUUUUUUAAUACUUUGCAACAUUCUGCCAACAUGUUGCAAAGUUAUUCUCGACUAGUUGAGUAACU